rnacentral:rRNA from 1 species
GCCAGACUCCUACGGGAGGCAGCAGUGGGGAAUAUUGGGCAAUGGGCGCAAGCCUGACCCAGCAACGCCGCGUGAAGGAAGAAGGCUUUCGGGUUGUAAACUUCUUUUCUGGGGGACGAACAAAUGACGGUACCCCAGGAAUAAGCCACGGCUAACUACGUGCCAGCAGCCGCGGUAAUACGUAGGUGGCAAGCGUUAUCCGGAUUUAUUGGGUGUAAAGGGCGUGUAGGCGGGAAUGCAAGUCAGAUGUGAAAACUCGGGGCUCAACCCUGAGCCUGCAUUUGAAACUGUGUUUCUUGAGUGCUGGAGAGGCAAUCGGAAUUCCGUGUGUAGCGGUGAAAUGCGUAGAUAUACGGAGGAACACCAGUGGCGAAGGCGGAUUGCUGGACAGUAACUGACGCUGAGGCGCGAAAGCGUGGGGAGCAAACAGGAUUAGAUACCCUAGUA